UACGAAGGGUGCAAGCGUUACUCGGAAUUACUGGGCGUAAAGCGUGCGUAGGCGGUUUGUUAAGUCUGUCGUGAAAGCCCCGGCUCAACCUGGGAAUGGCGAUGGAUACUGGCGAGCUAGAGUACGGUAGAGGAGAGUGGAAUUCCCGGUGUAGCAGUGAAAUGCGUAGAGAUCGGGAGGAACAUCAGUUGCGAAGGCGGCUCUCUGGACCAGUACUGACGCUGAGGCACGAAAGCGUGGGGAGCAAACAGG
rnacentral:rRNA from 1 species